UUUAUUGGAGAGUUUGAUCCUGGCUCAGGACGAACGCUGGCGGCGUGCCUAAUACAUGCAAGUCGAGCGGACUUGUGAGAGCUUGCUCUCGCAAGUUAGCGGCGGACGGGUGAGUAACACGUGGGCAACCUGCCUGUAAGACUGGGAUAACUUCGGGAAACCGGAGCUAAUACCGGAUAAUUCUUUCCUACACAUGUAGGGAAGCUGAAAGAUGGCUUCGGCUAUCACUUACAGAUGGGCCCGCGGCGCAUUAGCUAGUUGGUGAGGUAACGGCUCACCAAGGCAACGAUGCGUAGCCGACCUGAGAGGGUGAUCGGCCACACUGGGACUGAGACACGGCCCAGACUCCUACGGGAGGCAGCAGUAGGGAAUCUUCCGCAAUGGACGAAAGUCUGACGGAGCAACGCCGCGUGAGUGAUGAAGGUUUUCGGAUCGUAAAACUCUGUUGUUAGGGAAGAACAAGUACCGUUCGAAUAGGGCGGUACCUUGACGGUACCUAACCAGAAAGCCACGGCUAACUACGUGCCAGCAGCCGCGGUAAUACGUAGGUGGCAAGCGUUGUCCGGAAUUAUUGGGCGUAAAGCGCGCGCAGGUGGUUCCUUAAGUCUGAUGUGAAAGCCCACGGCUCAACCGUGGAGGGUCAUUGGAAACUGGGGAACUUGAGUGCAGAAGAGGAAAGUGGAAUUCCACGUGUAGCGGUGAAAUGCGUAGAGAUGUGGAGGAACACCAGUGGCGAAGGCGACUUUCUGGUCUGUAACUGACACUGAGGCGCGAAAGCGUGGGGAGCGAACAGGAUUAGAUACCCUGGUAGUCCACGCCGUAAACGAUGAGUGCUAAGUGUUAGGGGGUUUCCGCCCCUUAGUGCUGCAGCUAACGCAUUAAGCACUCCGCCUGGGGAGUACGGCCGCAAGGCUGAAACUCAAAGGAAUUGACGGGGGCCCGCACAAGCGGUGGAGCAUGUGGUUUAAUUCGAAGCAACGCGAAGAACCUUACCAGGUCUUGACAUCCUCUGCCAACCCUAGAGAUAGGGCGUUCCCCUUCGGGGGACAGAGUGACAGGUGGUGCAUGGUUGUCGUCAGCUCGUGUCGUGAGAUGUUGGGUUAAGUCCCGCAACGAGCGCAACCCUUGAUCUUAGUUGCCAGCAUUCAGUUGGGCACUCUAAGGUGACUGCCGGUGACAAACCGGAGGAAGGUGGGGAUGACGUCAAAUCAUCAUGCCCCUUAUGACCUGGGCUACACACGUGCUACAAUGGAUGGUACAAAGGGCUGCGAGACCGCGAGGUUAAGCGAAUCCCAUAAAACCAUUCUCAGUUCGGAUUGCAGGCUGCAACUCGCCUGCAUGAAGCCGGAAUCGCUAGUAAUCGCGGAUCAGCAUGCCGCGGUGAAUACGUUCCCGGGCCUUGUACACACCGCCCGUCACACCACGAGAGUUUGUAACACCCGAAGUCGGUGGGGUAACCGUAAGGAGCCAGCCGCCUAAGGUGGGACAGAUGAUUGGGGUGAAGUCGUAACAAGGUAGCCGUAUCGGAAGGUGCGGCUGGAUCACCUCCUUUCUA
rnacentral:rRNA from 1 species